rnacentral:tRNA from 1 species
AAUUUUUUAGUAUAUUUAGUAUGUUUGAUUUCCAAUCAAAAGGUAAAAAAAUUAG